ensembl:lncRNA
CUCCCUCUCUGUAGGGCCGGCUAUGGGUUCCAGAAACUGUGCUCCUCCAUCCGAGGCCAAGCUGCUUUGGGGCAGACAGCCCUCCUUCAUGGCUACAGCUCUCUCUUCCAGGUCAGAACUAUCCUCUCUCCUGACCUAAGGGUGGGAAGCACGCUCCCCCAUAGCCAGCUGCUGGUUGCUUCAGCAUUCCUUGCUUCCAUGUUCGUCUUUGUAAAUCAUUCCUUCCCUUAACUCUCCUCAUUUUCCGCAUUUGCCUGUGUCCCUUGUUUCCCAUGGAGAUCCUACCUGGAAGGUGGUUGUUCAGAGAAAGUUUUCUCCGUAUUUGAACAGGGCCAGUGAGAAGUUAAUUUGCCUGCUGUUCAAACACCUCAGUGAGCUCAGCUUCUGUCUGGAAAGGAUCCUAGCAGGGCUGUGCUCUGUGUCCUAUGGGGAUGGUCAUCUCCCCACUGUGACACUCAGGGUUGGAGCCCAGUUAGCGCAGCAUCAGCUUUACGCAGGAAGGUGGGCAUGGCCCCUGCCCAGCCUGCCCACUCACCUGAGGAUCAAAGGGGGAACACCAUCUCUUCCUGACCUCCGAGAGCCUGGGCUUCAGAUGUGACCUCACACCUGCUGCCAAGUGCAAGUGUUUCCAAUCCUGGGGAAUGGAGCAUAUUUUCCUUCUAAAAUGGAGAGAAGAUUAAGGAUUGAAUGUCACAGACCCUGGACUUCUGAGUUUGUUCGCAAAACAAGGCAUAUGGCAUUGGAGAGAGAGGUAUCGGUCCCAAGAGCAUUCCUUCAGAAAUCUCACACUAAUCUCUGUGUUCAAGUACUACCCAGGGGACCUGGCCUGUGACACUUGAGUGUUCAUUGAUUUGAGCCUCUGUACCUCAUUGGGGUACAAACAUUUCUUCUUCAUUUGUUUAUCUACAUGACGAGAAAUUUAUCUACAUGACAUAUGACAAGAACUUAUCUACAUGACAGGAAAUUUCCUUUCUUCUUUCUUCCAACCUGGACAAUCUUUCAGGAAAUUUCUUGGAAAUCACUCUGCAAGAAGCAUCAAGAUUUAGUAUACACCCUCCCAAACUCAUUCCCCAGUUCUUCUCAUAUUUGACAAUGACUUCAAGGAAACAGCAAAGUCCUGAUUCUUAGAAGUGGAAGCUAGUGCCCAUCCCUAAUCACAGCUGAAAAUACUCAAUUGAUUCAAAGUAUCUGCAUUUUUAGUUUUCUUAGGAAUCCGGGUUUUUUUUCUCUUAGUGAGAGUGGGCCACUUCACUGCCAGUAGUAUCUAUAACUGGGUGGGAAUUGUAGGAACGGCUCUAAAAUAGGGAUAUGGGAGACAAGCUCUCAGUCAUCUUGUGGAGAGGCUUAGCUCUGGUGAGUCUGAUCAGGUUGCUUUAAUUAAAAUCACCGAGUGACUAAAGUCUUACUCUGGGGAUUGGUAGAGGCAAAGUUUUAGUCUUUCCUCUACCCACUCCAUCCCUCAAACCACUGAGAAUAGAAUCUGAUUCGAUCAUUCUAUAGGUGAGGACAAGUCCACAUCCCUAGCAUUUUUUCCAGCUUUAUUGAGGUACAAUUGACAAAAUUAUGUUACUUAAAGUAUACAACAUGACGAUUUGAUAUAUGUAGGCAUUGUGAAAGGAUUCUCUCCACUGAGUUAAUUAACGCAUCCAGCACUUCAUGUAUUUACUUUUUAAAAAAAUUUUGGGUGAGAACAUUGAAGUUCUACUCUCUUAGCGAAUUUUAGUUAUGCAAUACACUUUUAUCAACUAUAGUCAGCAUGUUGUACCUUAGACCUUCAAACUCUAUUUAUCUCAUAAACAAAAGUCCGUACCCUUUUGUCACAUCCAUAGCAUUUGGAGAUUAAUAUCAUCAAG